GCGCCACGCACGCGUGUACGUGCACGCACGAGCAGGAGUGACGUAUCAUCCGAUUGAAGGUCACACUGGAGUUCCGUUUAAGUAACGAUGAUGCCCCCCUGGUGGCCGGAUGAUGCGAAUCACGUGACGCAUCGCCACUUGUUUCGUAUCUUGCCGCGCGCAUUGUCACGCGAGACUUGUCGUACUUUUUUGAAAUAAUAAAAAAAAUGUCUGUAAUGUAAUGUAA